rnacentral:rRNA from 1 species
GCGGCGGACGGGUGAGUAACACGUGGGUAACCUGCCUGUAAGACCGGGAUAACUCCGGGAAACCGGUGCUAAUACCGGAUAGAUUAUCUUUCCGCCUGGAGAGAUAAGGAAAGAUGGCUAUUGCCAUCACUUACAGAUGGGCCCGCGGCGCAUUAGCUAGUUGGUGAGGUAACGGCUCACCAAGGCGACGAUGCGUAGCCGACCUGAGAGGGUGAUCGGCCACACUGGGACUGAGACACGGCCCAGACUCCUACGGGAGGCAGCAGUAGGGAAUCUUCCGCAAUGGACGAAAGUCUGACGGAGCAACGCCGCGUGAGCGAAGAAGGUCUUCGGAUCGUAAAGCUCUGUUGUUAGGGAAGAACAAGUAUCGGAGGAAAUGCCGGUACCUUGACUGUACCUGACGAGAAAGCCACGGCUAACUACGUGCCAGCAGCCGCGGUAAUAC